CAAAUAAGGCUUUAGUAAUGAGCAUGAUGCCCUAGAGAUUGAUUGUAUUUAGCCUGGUGGCCAUUAGAAAACAGCUCACCUCUGGACAACAUAACUAGAGAAACAUCAGCAGGGCAUGUAAGUGCAGGUUAAUGGCUCCACCAUGUGGCAUGUGAUGGUAUUGGACUACUAAUUACCAUCUGUCUCCUCCAGGGUUGGGCUCACUUCAGAAUUAGUCACAUGACACAGGGCGUGGGAUUUUUUUUUAAACAGAGAGGAAGAGGUGAAGUGAGAGGUUUCACGAAAAUAAGCACCUGAGGAAUUUUUGUAUGGAGGUGUUGAAUGUUAUUGCUAAUUUGCUACAUGUAAGGCUUACUUGAUCAACAAUAUGUUUCAUAAUGGUUAGGUUGUUACGAAUGCACUGAUAUAAGUGGACGCACAUGGCAUUUUGGCAACAACAACAAAAAAUAGACUACAUCGGAGUUGUGCCUGUUGUCACAGAGACAGAGGACUCAUCACGGCUAUAAUCUGUUUUAGCAUGGACAUGGCCGUUGAAAGAAGUCAACUGGGUGAAGAAGUACACUAGGUGAAGAAGUACACUGGUUGAAGAAGUACACUGGGUGAAGAAGUACACUGGGUGGGGAUUCAUAUUGUUGGGAGCAAAUCAGCCAAUGAAGAAGAAUAAAAUGAACUACUUUAAAAUUGCCCAUGCUGUCACAUACGCCAAAAUGACACUGAUACAAAGGCUGAGCUUGUGGGGCAAUGCUUCCUCCAAUGUAGUGCAGUGUGGGUCCUGACUGUGCUGAGCUGUGCUGUGACUGGUUGGUCCACAUCUGGAGCAAAGCCCACCAGGCCAGGUACGAGGUGUGCUCUGAGGCCCUGCAACUCUGGACCACGGGGCUUCGUUAAGGUUUUGACCUUUCUGCCUGCCCUGAGCAUGUCUGCCAUCCGGUACCUUUGCC